UACAGAGGGGGCAAGCGUUGUUCGGAAUUACUGGGCGUAAAGGGCGCGUAGGCGCCUUCUAAGUCGAACGUGAAAUCCCCCGGGCUCAACCCGGGAACUGCGUCCGAUACUGGAAGGCUUGAAUCCGGGAGAGGGAUGCGGAAUUCCAGGUGUAGCGGUGAAAUGCGUAGAUAUCUGGAGGAACACCGGUGGCGAAGGCGGCAUCCUGGACCGGCAUUGACGCUGGAGGCGCGAAAGCCAGGGGGAGCAAACGGG
rnacentral:rRNA from 1 species